ACACGGAACUGCCAUUCAGUGGCGCUUGGUUAUAGCAAUUAUGAAUACGUCUGAGUAGGUAUGUAUACUUUACAUGAAAGAAAAUACCUACCUUGGUAGUUUCAUGUUGAUGCUGCCUCGAUUAUAAAGUAAACCCAUUUGAGCCUGACUGUACAGGUAGACACAUGUAGAAAAUUUUCCGAAAUAUUUUGAUUACGAUUUCAUUAACAAUUUUUGACUAUUUAUCACAAAUAAUUCAAGUUAAAUAAGAUUCGUUAUCACUUAUGCAAGAUUUCGUUGCUUGAAGACGAAAUGAUGGAUUUGCUUGAAUUAUUUCACUUUCUUACUGCGUCCCGUACUGCGAUGCCAAGACUCAAUGGGUUGACUUGCUAUUCAAAAGCUUUCUACUGUCGCCGCUGAAAAGAGUUCCCGAUGUUGUUCAAACAGCGCGCACAAACAACGUUUUCUGCUGUACAAAACUUCUUCAAAUUCUUCGUAUAUUCCCUUAACAACCGUAGUGCGGCGUGUUUCAUCUUGUUGUUACAUUUAUACACAUUUAUAAGACGCAAACUUUUCUUACAAGCCAUGGAGUACUUGAGCACCUGUAUUUUUUUUCCUAUUGUAAACUAGCUCUUUUCAUGCCAGCAUUUGUGGCAGGUGCCAUCCUGGGCAAUGAUAUUUCGAAGUACAACGUGUAAGUACACAGUCGAACGCAAGUGUAGGUAUUAAUUUAGGAGUGAUAAAAAUCGUUUUAAUUAUGCAGUGAUUCUAAUAACAUAUUAUGGAACCAAAAUGAAUGGUUUCAAAACACUUUCGUUGGCCGCAAUUUGCGCAAUUUAAUUGACGUUCACCGUUGGUGUGAUAUUCUGAUAAAUAAUAAACUGAUGAGAAUGAUAUCUGUCAUAGUAACAUCUGUCACAAUAGAAUAUACAGUCCGUGGUUAUGUUCAUUGAAACUGACGUACGCUAACUCGGUUCUACACGAUUCUCAUCAGGGUUUUUAUUUCAACAACUCAAAUAAAUACGGAUUCAUUAUCGAUAAUUCUCUAAUCAAUUUUAGAAAUGAGGCACUCAGACGGAAAAAAAUUGAAACAACAAAAUAUCAUUCGUUAAAAAAAUCUAAUAACUUCCAGUUAAUCAACGAAUCGAUGCCAUUUUUAAAUUGCAUGUAUGAAAUGAAAUUCAACAAAGUCACCCGUCAAUUGUCGGAACAAAAUAAAAACCGAUGCAUCGCGAUGGUGCUAUAUCUGGGAUGCUACCUCUUCUCAUUUUAGAGUGUAGAUGUAGGUUUUGAAAAC